GCGUCGGUUAUAGAUAAGAUAAAAUUGUAAUAUAAUCACGCUCAUAUAAUAUCAUAAAACAUACGCGGUAAAAAUUUAGUCAGAAAAUAUAAAUAAACUGUAAAUUUUACUGUCAAGUACUCAAAGAAUUGUGUUGGUGUUGUUUUGAAUUAUCAUGUCUUGGCACGGUGGUCCUCCUCCUCCAGGUCAGUGGCCUCCUGGUGAUUACCCUCCUCCCCCACCUCAUCAUGGUGGUCCACCUCCGCCACCUCACCAUGGAUAUCCUCCUCCGCCUCCGCCAUCGGCUCCAUUCGACCCUCCUCCACCAUGGAGUCCUCCAGUAGAUCCCGGAUUUGGAGUUACGCCGGGACAUUUACCUCCUCCGUGGGGUUUUCCGCCAUGUCAGCAUACGUGGAAAAAUUUGGGUUGUUCGUCAUGUGAGGGAUGGAAAUGGUGUUAAAUUGACUCGAUAAUAUUAUGUGUAUUAUUAUUUAAUUAUCCAAUUUAAUUAUCUGAAUAGUAAGAAAAUAUUUGCUUAAAGAUAUAUAAAGUGAAUAAAGGAUCAGGGGCAUUGAAAUAUA